UGGGCCUACGGGGGGCAGCAGUGAGGAAUAUUGGUCAAUGGGCGGGAGCCUGAACCAGCCAAGUCGCGUGAGGGAAGAAGGUACUGAGUAUUGUAAACCUCUUUUGCCAGGGGACAAAGGCGGCCACGGGUGGCCGUAAGAGGGUACCUGGAGAAAAAGCAUCGGCUAACUACGUGCCAGCAGCCGCGGUAAUACGUAGGGGGCAAGCGUUAUCCGGAUUUACUGGGUGUAAAGGGGGCGCAGACGGCGAUGCAAGCCAGGAGUGAAAGCCCGGGGCCCAACCCCGGGACUGCUCUUGGAACUGC
rnacentral:rRNA from 1 species